rnacentral:rRNA from 1 species
UAGGGAAUCUUCCGCAAUGGACGCAAGUCUGACGGAGCAACGCCGCGUGAGUGAAGAAGGAUUUCGGUUCGUAAAACUCUGUUGUUAGAGAAGAACAGCGCAUAGAGUAACUGUUAUGCGUGUGACGGUAUCUAACCAGAAAGCCACGGCUAACUACGUGCCAGCAGCCGCGGUAAUACGUAGGGGGCUAGCGUUGUCCGGAAUCACUGGGCGUAAAGGGUUCGCAGGCGGAAAUGCAAGUCAGGUGUAAAAGGCAGUAGCUUAACUACUGUAAGCAUUUGAAACUGCAUAUCUUGAGAAGAGUAGAGGUAAGUGGAAUUUUUAGUGUAGCGGUGAAAUGCGUAGAUAUAUGGAGGAACACCGGUGGCGAAAGCGGCUCUCUGGUCUGUAACUGACGCUGAGGCUCGAAAGCGUGGGGAGCGAACAGG